rnacentral:tRNA from 1 species
GGACUCAUAGCUUAGCGGUAGAGCGCUACCUUCACACGGUAGAGGUCGCCAGUUCAAAUCUGGCUGGGUCCA